UGAGCAUUCUCUCCCUUGUGAAUUUGGAUGGAAGCAAUAACAAUCCAUAGUGGCAUCUUGCAGCGAAUGAGUCAUUUACAGUUAAGUCUUUUUACAAGCAGUUGUUUAAGCAUGAAAAGAAUGGGUAUACAUUCUUGCUUAAACAGACUUGACAAGUUAGGGUCCAUCCUUGUUCUUCUUUCAGUAUUUUAACUUUUAACAAACUGAGGAGACAGGACAAGAUCUUGGUCAACACUUGUUCUAUUUGUAAGAGGGUAGACAAGACUUGUAACAGUGUACUACUAUGAUGUACUGUGGUUUUUAUGCUCUGGACAAUGGUUUACAGCUUGUUAGACAUCAAUUGGGUGAUGGCAAGACCGAUGAAAGAUGAAUUCUGGGCAUGGAAGGGCUUUAGUGGCUGGAGGAAACUUGUGAACCUAAUAUCGGUCUUACUAUUUUUUGGGUUUUGCGGAAGGAGAGGAAUAGAAGAACUUUUGUUGGGAUUGAGAAUGUGGAUGGUGUUGAUUUACUUAAAGAAAGAUAGUUGCAGACCAUUGUUUUUUUGUUAUGGGGUCAAACCUUCUUAUUUAAUGAAGGAUAUAGUAAAUCUUGUUGGUAUGUUGAUUGACAUGUAAAUUUUUGUAAAUAGGUGGCUCCCCUUGGUGCUGAUAUCAAUAUAUUUUUAUGUCAUAUUUCAAAAAAAAAAAGAAAAAAAGCAAUAAUUUAGUGUUAUUUCUAUGCUUAUCUAGUUUUUCUUUUUUUUUUGGGUACUUCAGGUUUCACGUAUUCCAAGUAUAUCACACUUGGACAAAAUGUGAACCUUCCAACCAAUGCUGGUGGGUGCACAUGUGAAGGAGAGUGCAUAGAUCCCCGGAUUUGUGCAUGUGCUAAGCUUAAUGGCUCAGAUUUUCCUUAUGUGCAUCGUGAUGGCGGCAGAUUGAUUGAAGCCAAAGAUGUCAUAUUUGAGUGUGGCCCAGGAUGUAAAUGUGAACCUGGUUGUGUAAACCGGACAUCUCAAAGAGGAAUUAAGUAUCGCCUUGAGGUUUUUCGUACUCCUAAAAAGGGAUGGGCUGUUAGGUCGUGGGAUUUCAUACCUUCUGGAGCGCCUGUCUGUGAAUAUGUUGGAGUGCUUAUGAGGACCGAAGAUCUAGACAAUGUUUCUGAGAAUGAUUAUAUUUUUGAGAUUGAUUGCUUACAGACUAUGAGUGGACUUGGUGGCAGAGAGGUAUUUUUGAAGCAUUUUGA